rnacentral:rRNA from 1 species
CCGUUGCAAGGGGCUCCGAUGAGCUGUGGCAAGGGGUGAAAGGCCAAUCUUACCUGGAGCUAGCUGGUUUACCGCGAAACCUAUAUCAGUAGGCUCCCACCUACUUUAUCCUUAACCACUCCUUUAUCCCUUGGGUUGAAAACCCUUCCCUCUUUACUAGGUCGCAUACCGAGGUACUAAAGAGAAGAGACACGAAGGAGCAGGGUAGCAACUACCAAGGCAUAGAGGGGGCUAUAAUGAUGUUCCGUGGGGGGGCAUUACAGGUGGAUCAGGUUGUUACUAGCUGGUACGGCACUGGAAUGCGUGCAUCACUGCUUGAACGGGGGGCUAUAAUGGCUCUAUCGUCCCUUUCUAACCCCGGAAUUGCUAGUAUACAAAGGUGGGUAAUCAGACCAUUCAUGAUAAGGUGAUUGGUCAAAAGGGCAACAGCCCUGAACAGGGGGUAAGGUCCCUAAGUACUACUGAGUGAUAACAAGGCAGUCCUCACCAGAGUCUUUCCACCAAGUGGGCUUGGAAGCAGCCACCUUUUUGUGAAAGC